AUCCUACUCCCUCCGUCCGGAAAUACUUGUCAUCGAAAUGAAUAAAAGGAGAUGUAUCUAGACAUAUUUUAGUUCUAGAUACAUCCCUUUUUGUCCAUUUUGAUGACAAGUAUUUUCGGACGGAGGGAGUACUAG
rnacentral:pre_miRNA from 1 species